rnacentral:rRNA from 1 species
AAACUUUAAAUGGGUGAGAAGACCACCUGCUCGAUCGAAGGCCGGUCGUCGGAUGAGAGUGCCCAGUGGGCCACUUUUGGUAAGCAGAACUGGCGCUGUGGGAUGAACCAAACGCCGAGUUACGGAGCCCGAUGCGAGACGCUCAUGAGACCCCAUGAAAAGUGUUGGUCGCUCCAGACAGCAGGACAGUGGCCAUAGAAUUAGGAAUCUUCUAAGGAGUGUGUAACAACUCACCUGCCAAAGCAACUAGGCCUGAAAAUAGAUGACGCUCCAGCGUCCAGCCCAUACCCGGCCGCCGCUGCAGAGCUCCUCAAGGAGGUUUAGGCCGCGGUGAGUAGGAGGGUCGCGGCGGGGAGCGUUGAAGGUGACGGGCGUGAGCCCGCCAGGAAUCCCCGUCCGUGGAGAUAUUGCUGGUAGUAGCAAAUACUCAAGUGAGAACCUUGAGGACUGAGGGUGGCGAAUUGUUCCAUGUGAACAGCAGUUGAACACGGGUCAGUCGGCCCUAAGGGAUCGGAGAAAUCCGUUCUGAAGCGGGACCUUACACGACUGUACUGCAGUCCCGCUGUCGACCGAAAGAGAAUGGGGACAAUAUUCCCCAACCCGGACACGGAGAUCGGGCUCUCGGGCCCAAGUGCGGCGACGCAACCGCUAAAGUCGACGGAGGACCCGGUUAAGAGUUGUCUUUUCUUUGUAAGGGUUCGUGUCCCUGGAAUCGGCUCGUCCGGAGAUAGGGACGCUGUUCCCGUAAAAGCACCGCGGCUCUUGCGGUGUCCGGUCCGCCUCUGUGG